rnacentral:rRNA from 1 species
UAGGGAAUCUUCCACAAUGGACGAAAGUCUGAUGGAGCAACGCCGCGUGAGUGAAGAAGGGUUUCAGCUCGUAAAACUCUGUUGUUAAAGAAGAACAUAUCUGAGAGUAACUGUUCAGGUAUUGACGGUAUUUAACCAGAAAGCCACGGCUAACUACGUGCCAG